rnacentral:rRNA from 1 species
GGUGCGAGCGUUGUCCGGAAUUACUGGGCGUAAAGAGCUCGUAGGCGGUUUGUCGCGUCGUCUGUGAAAACCAGCAGCUCAACUGCUGGCUUGCAGGCGAUACGGGCAGACUUGAGUACUGCAGGGGAGACUGGAAUUCCUGGUGUAGCGGUGAAAUGCGCAGAUAUCUGGAGGAACACCGGUGGCGAAGGCGGCAUCCUGGACCGACGCUGACGCUGAGGAGCGAAAGCCAGGGGAGCAAACGGGA